ACAGGCCUGGAAAGUGACGUUUUCUGUAGAUGUCAACUUCUGUCUGGUGUGAUGCUCUGUUCUUCUGGUGAUGUCACAUGCAGCACUGAGUAAUAUUGGUAAAUGGAAGAGGUCUCUUAGAAUAAGACCUACGCUUCAGGAAGAAAGAAGGAAAAAGUAAUAUUAUAAUGCUACAUUUACCACGAUGCAUGAAAAAAAUAAAUUGGGAACUAAAAACAAAAGAAAGCCUCCAAAAGAAACCUGUAUAAUUUUUCCAUAAGUAAAAGUGCAGUUUGAAAUUGAAAAACUUUAACAUCUGAUAUUAUGAUUUGAUUUUGAUGUGUUGAAAUAGAACUAUAAGUAGUUAUGAACAUUCUAUACCUUUAUAAAAACGGCCAAAUUACAUCUCUGAGUCAUCAGACUGAAGCCCUUGAGUGUUCAGGGAGGCAAAUUGAUAAUAUUUGGCUGUUUUUAAAUGCUUUGGCUUUGUGUCCCUUAUGACUUUUUCAAUAACGUUAUAGGGAACAGAAAAAUGAGAUGGGCACAUCUACAGAUAUUUAUAGGUUGAUAAAGUAUAUCCUUUUAAGGAAGGCUGCUUAAACACAUUAUCUACAUUCAUCAUGUAUGUCUGCAUAUAUGUACGUCGUGCAGUUUAUCCAGCAUGUAGUUCUGUUUUAUUACAAUUGUAGAAAUUGUCAUGGCACUAUGUGAGUUAGAUACUUCGGUUCAUAAAGUCAUUCUUUAUCAGAGCAUUUGUAUUAUUUACUGAAGAGCAAUACUUACGCAUCAGAACUAGUAGUGGUAGAUUAAUGUAUGCUUUUCUGUUGUUUUGUUUUAUGUGCUUUGUACUAAAAACACAUAAGUUUGUUUGCGAAAGCUCGUUGUAUACUAAUAAGAAGAAAAACCAUCUCAGUCAUACUGAAUAAAUUCUGUAGCUGGUAUGAAGGAUUUUCAGCAAUCCAUAUUGUCCUUGGACUUGGCUGUUGCAUUGUACUUUAAAUGGAAUUGAUUGUGUGGUUGUAAUGAAAGUAACAGAUUGAUUUCUAUACAGAGUUACACAGAGUAAAUAGAAAAAUGUUCUUGUCUUGACCUGCAUUCAUAAACUAAAAAUCAGUGGCUUUUGACCUAAUCCUUAAUAAAAAAUGUAAAUGUAAUCUAGCAAAUCGGAAAGUUUCUUUAAUUCUUGGAAAAUUUACUGUUUAUUGGGUUUUGUGGGCCUUUGAUUUUAAUCGAUUUUUUUUCUAAUAACCGUAUUACAUUUUCUCUUAAAGGAACUGGUACUUUUGCUAUUUACAUAUUUUGGAGAAAUUGAUUUGUUCUUUUCCAGCUUAUUCUUUUGCUUGUGCCUUGAAUGCAUAGCAUCUUCCUUCCUUAUCUAGGUAGAAUAUAUAUGACUUUCAGUACCUUCACUGAUAAAUAUUGCUAGUGUAGCAUCUGUGCAAGCAUACGACGCAUAUGUUUUUGUGUUGCUAGUGCAAACUUUUGUAGUUUAUUUCUAAAAGACUGUAUUUUUGAAGUGAAUGUUCAGGUCGAUAUAUUUAUGUUGUAAUAGAAGGAGGAAAGCUGUAGAUUGAAGUAAGUCACAACGUUCUUUCUGUUUGGAUAAGCCCCCAAAAAUGUUUAUAUUAUUGCAACAAUUAUUACAGAAAAGGCCAUCGAGGUGUUUGUGAGCAGCCUUUGUUGGACUGCUUUUUCUGUGGGUGAGACUAUGGUUCAGGCCCCGGCAAAAUGAAUGAUGUAGUGAGUAAAUUUUUACAUCUGGCUGUAAACUCAGGAUCCAGUGUGGAUUAUCAACGUUGCUGCUCUCACAAGUUUCUCAGGGAAUUUUACACCUUUGGUCUUGGUGCUUUACUCUCUCGCUGGAGUAAAGCAGCGCAUUGCGAGGAUGCAUAAACACGACAACCAAAACAAUAGAGACCUGAACACACUGACAUCCACUGCUACCCCAUUGUAGCUUCCGAAGGCAUGCUAUUCUUCGCAGCCCACUUGCUAUCCUUCAGGUUGCAGCAGUACAAUUCACAGGAAAAGCUUAGACAUUGAGCUUGCACGCUUCUUGACUGCAUUUUAAACCCUUUGUUCACACCAGGGUGGCAUUUUUUCACACCCCAUGUGGCAGCUUUGACUCCUAUCCAGCCUGUCGUAUAGAAUCAAAGUCUGUGGUUUCUUACAUUCCCAGUGCUGUCUCUUGAGCUGCUGUAUUCUUUGUGGCUCCCUAAAUAUUACAAAUCUUAAUUUCAUUCACAGGUUUUUAAAGCUUGAUAGGGUAUGCACUGAGACAACUCCACCUGCGCAUGAAGAUUUGCUUAAAAUCAAAGCUGCCUGAAGGGAAAGGGAAGAGCUCUUUCUUCUUUCUUCUC
rnacentral:lncRNA from 7 species